UACGGGGGGGGGCAAGCGUUGUCCGGAAUUAUUGGGCGUAAAGGGCUCGUAGGCGGUCUGUUGCGUCGGGAGUGAAAACUCAGGGCUUAACCCUGAGCUUGCAGUGGGUACGGGCAGACUAGAGUGCGGUAGGGGAGACUGGAAUUCCUGGUGUAGCGGUGAAAUGCGCAGAUAUCAGGAGGAACACCGGUGGCGAAGGCGGGUCUCUGGGCCGUAACUGACGCUGAGGAGCGAAAGCAUGGGGAGCGAACAGG
rnacentral:rRNA from 1 species